rnacentral:rRNA from 1 species
AUUGAACGCUGGCGGCAGGCUUAACACAUGCAAGUCGAGAGAGCGGCGGACGGGUGAGUAAUGUCUGGGAAACUGCCUGAUGGAGGGGGAUAACUACUGGAAACGGUAGCUAAUACCGCAUACCAUCGGAUGUGCCCAGAUGGGAUUAGCUAGUAGGGGGGGUAACGGCUCACCUAGUCGACGAUCCCUAGCUGGUCUGAGAGGAUGACCAGCCACACUGGUACUGAGACACGGUCCAGACUCCUACUGGGGGCAGCAGUGUGGAAUCUGGCACAAUGGUCGCAAGCCUGAUGCAGCCAUGCCGCGUGUAUGAAGAAGGCCUACGGGUUGUAAAGUACUUUCAUCUAGUAGGCGUUACUCGCAGAUGAAGCACCGGCUAACUCCGUGCCAGCAGCCGCGGUAAUAC